GAUGAAGAACGCAGUGAAAUGCGAUAAUUAAUGUGAAUUGCAGAAUUCAGUGAAUCAUCGAGUCUUUGAACGCACAUUGCGCCCCCUGGUAUUCCGGGGGGCAUGCGUGUCCGAGCGUCAUUGCUGCCCUCAAGCACGGCUUGUGUGUUGGGCUUCCGUCCCUGGCAACGGGGACGGGCCCAAAAGGCAGUGGCGGCACCAUGUCUGGUCCUCGAGCGUAUGGGGCUUUGUCACCCGCUCCCGUAGGUCCAGCUGGCAGCUAGCCUCGCAACCAAUCUUUUUAACCAGGUUGACCUCGGAUCAGGUAGGGAUACCCGCUGAACUUAAGCAUAUCAAUAAGCGGAGGA
rnacentral:misc_RNA from 1 species